CCUACGGGAGGCAGCAGUGAGGAAUAUUGGUCAAUGGGCGCGAGCCUGAACCAGCCAAGUAGCGUGAAGGAUGACUGCCCUACGGGUUGUAAACUUCUUUUAUAAAGGAAUAAAGUGAGGCACGUGUGCCUUUAUGUAUGUACUUUAUGAAUAAGGAUCGGCUAACUCCGUGCCAGCAGCCGCGGUAAUACGGAGGAUCCGAGCGUUAUCCGGAUUUAUUGGGUUUAAAGGGAGCGUAGAUGGGUUGUUAAGUUAGUUGUGAAAGUUUGCGGCUCAACCGUAGAAGUGCAAUUGAUACUGGCAGCCUUGAGUACAGAUGAGGUAGGCGGAAUUCGUGGUGUAGCGGUGAAAUGCUUAGAUAUCACGAAGAACUCCGAUUGCGAAGGCAGCCUACUGGACUGCCACUGACGUUGAUGCUCGAAAGUGUGGGUAUCAAACAGGAUUAGAUACCCGUGUAGUC
rnacentral:rRNA from 1 species